rnacentral:lncRNA from 1 species
AGAAGAGUAAUGAAGUCUUAUGUAUGUAAUAGUUAGAAUGUGGACAUGACAAAUUGUAUAAUGAUGUAUAGAAAUGUAAUGUAAUGAUGUUGAGGUUUAGAAGUGUGCUUGACCAUAGUAUAUUGUGAUCCCUUUUUGAUACAUGAUCUUAAUGUUUAUUAAUGUCUAUGUUUAGCCAACUCAACACAUGUUAUGCUACCCAUUGGGGGCAUUGAUGAGAUCCCACAGAGGGGUCAAGAUUAUGAUUAUGAUUAUGUUGAGUGCAUGCACAGGUUGAGUUUGGUGUAUGAUAGCAAGUAUGAAAGAAAAGUUUUAAAUUCUUAUGUAUGUUGUUGAUCAUGUAUGGGAUUAAACAGG